rnacentral:rRNA from 1 species
UGAGGAAUAUUGGACAAUGGAUGGAAAUCUGAUCCAGCCAUGCCGCGUGCAGGAAGACGGUCCUAUGGAUUGUAAACUGCUUUAGCAUGGGAGCAAUAAGGUGUACGCGUACACCGAUGAGAGUACCAUGAGAAUAAGCACCGGCUAACUCCGUGCCAGCAGCCGCGGUAAUACGGAGGGUGCAAGCGUUAUCCGGAUUUAUUGGGUUUAAAGGGUGCGUAGGCUGUAAGUCAAGUCAGCGGUGAAAAGUCGGGGCUAAACCUUGAGGGUGCCGUUGAAACUGACAUACUAGAAUGUGGAUGAUGCCGGCGGAAUGUGUCAAGUAGCGGU